rnacentral:rRNA from 1 species
GGCGGACGGGUUAGUAACGCGUGGGAACGUACCCAGAUCUAAGGAAUAGCCACUGGAAACGGUGAGUAAUACCUUAUACGCCCUUCGGGGGAAAGAUUUAUCGGAUUUGGAUCGGCCCGCGUUAGAUUAGAUAGUUGGUGGGGUAAUGGCCUACCAAGUCUACGAUCUAUAGCUGGUUUUAGAGGAUGAUCAGCAACACUGGGACUGAGACACGGCCCAGACUCCUACGGGAGGCAGCAGUGGGGAAUCUUGGACAAUGGGCGCAAGCCUGAUCCAGCCAUGCCGCGUGAGUGAUGAAGGCCUUAGGGUCGUAAAGCUCUUUCGCCAGAGAUGAUAAUGACAGUAUCUGGUAAAGAAACCCCGGCUAACUCCGUGCCAGCAGCCGCGGUAAUACGGAGGGGGUUAGCGUUGUUCGGAAUUACUGGGCGUAAAGCGUACGUAGGCGGAUUAGUCAGUCAGAGGUGAAAUCCCAGGGCUCAACCCUGGAACUGCCUUUGAUACUGCUAGUCUUGAGUUCGAGAGAGGUGAGUGGAAUUCCAAGUGUAGAGGUGAAAUUCGUAGAUAUUUGGAGGAACACCAGUGGCGAAGGCGGCUCACUGGCUCGAUACUGACGCUGAGGUACGAAAGUGUGGGGAGCAAACAGGAUUAGAUACCCUGGUAGUCCACACCGU